ACUAACAGAGUCAUUUUCAACGGUUGCUUCAUCAGAGUUGGAAAUGAAGGAUUUCACAACGGAUAUUCAUUUCCCCAACGGAUAAAUCGUCAGAAACGAAAAUGAACUAACGGAGUCAUUUUCAACGGUUGCUUCAUCAGAUUGGAAAUGAAUAGGGUUAACUCUAGACACAUGACAGAACUUGCUUCCGCACAGUUUGUUUUGUAAUGUUUUGGGGAAGGAUAUCAAACUUGUGACGAGGGUGACUAGACUUCCAUCGGUUCCUUUUAAUUAGAUCGACAGGGGAUCCUCUUGGUUAGGCCACCAAGGAGUCCUUUCAGCUAUAUCAUCACAUGAUAUCCCUAACCAGAUUUUUGGAUGAAUCUGUUUAGCUAGACCACUCCAGGGGUCUAAUUAUGAAGUAGUACUUUAUAAUCCGAGGGACUUAACUAUAACAUAGAAGUCCAUUGAGGAUUUUAAGUAAUACCUUUGGGCAUCCAACUAUGAAUCUCUUGUAUACGGAUAUGUAAGAUUCUACGAAGAUUUGGAUAACAUAAUUUGGAUCACACAACAAUACAUAAGGAAACACAUAAGCACAUAGUCACAUAAUUGUUUAAUUUGAUCAUAAUUUGUUAUUAACUUGUUAUCGAUUGAAUACGGAUAUGGAAACCUGUCGACGGAUCUCAAUGUUCACUGGAAUCUAUCUAAGAAGAUAGAAAGAUCUCCCAAAAUUCGAUUUUUGAUUACAAGGAAUCACCACAUUCGAAUGAAGGUAUACAACAAUUAAAGACUUAUGGGAAAUUCCUAGGUACCCUAUUAAGGAUUUAUAGUGGUACCUUGGGUAUUCGUCUUGUGCUGUAACCUGCGCCUUGUACUUCGUUUCCUUAGAAUAAACGGGUACUUAGGAAUUCCGUGGAAGACGCAAGCGAUUAUAGAAUGGGAGAAUUUUGGGGGUAGUUUGUUCUUCAAGGAAUACGGUUCCUUGAUUGUCGGUAUUGCAAGGGAUAUGUCGUUUAUACAUGCAACCAUCGAAAUACAUUGCAAUGUAAAUGAAAGAUUUAUUUAUAAACAACGAUAUCAACUGUUCCUUGGAUCUUGACAACAAAAGAAACUUAAUACAUAAGACAUGAUUAUUUCUAAACGAUGU
rnacentral:lncRNA from 1 species